AAUGAAAUUAAAACAUUACUAGAUUAGGAAAGUAAAUAUUUAUAAAUAAACUAUUUUCAAGUAGUUCAUUGACAUGGUCAUUUAGUGGGUUAUGCUAAUGGUUGAGAUUUGUAGUACACUGAUGGCCAAACUUGUUCUCUCUUCUGAAAUAUAUUUAUAAUUUUAUAGACAUAAAUUGUUUUAUCUCAUAAAUUGUUUGAUUCAAAGUUUGAUGCCCUUCUGUGCAUUUGUUAAACAUUUAUCCUUUUAUUUUGUAAAUUCUCUGAUUAUCCCAGCUACAAGGUUGGAAAUGUAUUUGAACUCUUCACAUAUAGAGAAUUUUUUCUGGUUCUGCUUUUUGGGGUGACCAGAAAACUUAAAAAUCCUUUAUCCAAAAUGCUUAAACUUCCUGCUGGACAAAAUAAAACAAGGCACCUAAAAGAACAGCUGAGCCCACAAGAAACAGCCAGAACCAAGAAGAGAACUGAAACCACGCUGACCCUGCGGCUUGCUGAAGCCAGAGCCGCCCUGCUUAUCUGGAACUGUUCGUUUUCAGUACUAGCUGAGAGCAACCUUUGAGCCCUGGUGCCCGCCGAGUGGACAAUGAACUCCGUGUGCAAGGCUAGGACCUUCUAGGGACUGUGCCUUGAGGUAGAAUCUCUGCAGGGAAUAAAAAGCCUCCCUCACCAGCCAGCAGCAAAGCAAAUGUGGAAGCUUGCCUCUUUCCCCCUGUACCCUGGGAGGAACAAAUGCUCUCUCCUUCCUCAUAGAGAAAGUACAUGAAUGACAGCCACAGUGGUGCAAUCUCUGGGGAAUUGGAAAGAACAUCGGGAGGAGAUCUCCAGGAGCACAGUCAGCCGCUACAGAGAGGCACACCCUGCACCAGCACACACAGAAUCCUCCAUAGGGCCUGGAUGAAGACGAGUUCACAGCGCAAAUACACAAUGGAACAGUCCACCGUGGACACAAAUCAGUAGACCCACCAAAUAUAAGAUUGUGUUUACGAAUACCAGAUAGUCAAGUAAUUAGAAUUUUAAAAUCAGCAGAGACAUGGAAAGGCAGAUGGCAAACACAGGAUCAAAUAACAGUUAUGACAGAACUACAACUCAAAACAAGGGGUCAGGGGUGAGGGAGACUCGGUAGGUGUGAUAACCAUGGUAGAGGAGGUUUCUCAGUAUUCUGAAUUCCUCUCCCCUGUCUUAUUUUCCACCUCCUGGAGCAGCGGUUCUCAACCUUACUAACGCUGCUUCCUUUAAUAGGAUUUCUCAUGUUGUGGUGACCCCCAGCCAUAAAAUUAUUUUCAUUGCUAUUUUACAACUGUAAUUUUCUACUGUAAUGAAUCAUAAUGUAAAUAUCUGAUAUGUGGGAUAUCUGAUAUGCAACCCCUGAAGGUUGGUUGAUCCCUAAAGGGGUCUUGACCACAGGUUGAGAAAACCUUCCCUGGAAGAUAGAUCAGGCAUUGUGGAGAGCUUUGUGGAUGAGCCGAGUCACGUCUGGCUGAAGCCCAUAAGAACUGGUGUGCACACGACCCCAGUUUUCUUCCUCCUGAUCUGAUGAGCACCACCCUUCCAGAAUAUUAACCUGUUCAUUGUGACUGGAAGAUUUGAGAGAGUUACCCAAAAUGCAGUUGAAUGGAUACAGUGAUUAAAACACGGUAGAUAGUGUUUGAGACACGGGGUAUGGGAGAGAGCCUACAAUCCAUUUGCCGUGUGAUCCAUAAGGGGAAAAUUCGGCACAGGAAAUCUUCAAAGAAAUAACCUAGCAUCUUCCACACAAAUCACUGGAUUCAGCAGUGUAGUGAAGUCUAUCAGGAAAAAACUACAAUCCACGUGAAAUAUAAACAUC
rnacentral:lncRNA from 1 species